rnacentral:rRNA from 1 species
UACGAAGGGUGCAAGCGUUGCUCGGAAUUAUUGGGCGUAAAGGGUAGGUAGGUGGUUACGUAUGUCUGGAGUGAAAUCCCUAAGCUUAACUUAGGAAGUGCUUUGGAAACGGCGUAACUAGAGUGCUGGAGAGGUUUGUAGAAUUCCCGGUGUAGCGGUGAAAUGCGUAGAGAUCGGGAGGAAUACCAGAGGCGAAGGCGGCAAACUGGACAGUGACUGACACUAAACUACGAAAGCGUGGGGAGCAAACAGG